rnacentral:rRNA from 1 species
AGCUCCAAUAGCGUAUGUUAAAGUUGUUGCGGCUAAAAAGCUCGUAGUUGGAUUUCUGCUGGGAACAACUGGUCCGCUCUAUGAGCGUGCAUCUAGUUUGGUUCCGGCAUCCGCUCUGCAUACGUGUCUGCGCUUGAUUGCGUGGCGCGGAGGUAGGGCCUUUUACUUUGAGGAAAUUAGAGUGUUCACGGCAGGCAGUCGCCUUGAAUAUAUUAGCAUGGAAUAAUAAUAUAGGAUCUUGGUUCUAUUUUGUUGGUUUCUAGAGCUGAGAUAAUGAUUAAUAGGGACAAUUGGGGGCAUUCGUAUUGCGGUGUCAGAGGUGGAAUUCUUGGAUUACUGCACGACGAACUACUGCGAAAGCAUUUGCCAAGGAUGUUUUCA